rnacentral:rRNA from 1 species
UACGGGGGGGGCAAGCGUUGUUCGGAAUUACUGGGCGUAAAGGGCGUGUAGGCGGCCAACUAAGUCCGACGUGAAAUCCCCAGGCUUAACCUGGGAACUGCGUCGGAUACUGGAUGGCUUGAAUCCGGGAGAGGAAUGCAGAAUUCCAGGUGUAGCGGUGAAAUGCGUAGAUAUCUGGAGGAAUACCGGUGGCGAAGGCGGCAUCCUGGACCGGCAUUGACGCUGAAGCGCGAAAGCUAGGGGAGCAAACGGG